GACGUAGGGCGCGAGCGUUGUCCGGAUUUAUUGGGCGUAAAGAGCUCGUAGGCGGCUUGUCGCGUCGAAUGUGAAAUCUCAGGGCUCAACUCUGACAUUGCAUUCGAUACGGGCAGGCUAGAGUUCGGUAGGGGAGACUGGAAUUCCUGGUGUAGCGGUGAAAUGCGCAGAUAUCAGGAGGAACACCGGUGGCGACGGCGGGUCUCUGGGCCGAUACUGACGCUGAGGAGCGAAAGCGUGGGGAGCGAACAGG
rnacentral:rRNA from 1 species